GACGAACGCUGGCGGCGUGCCUAAUACAUGCAAGUUGAGCGCUGAAGGUUGGUACUUGUACCGACUGGAUGAGCAGCGAACGGGUGAGUAACGCGUGGGGAAUCUGCCUUUGAGCGGGGGACAACAUUUGGAAACGAAUGCUAAUACCGCAUAAAAACUUUAAACACAAGUUUUAAGUUUGAAAGAUGGAAUUGCAUCACUCAAAGAUGAUCCCGCGUUGUAUUAGCUAGUUGGUGAGGUAAAGGCUCACCAAGGCGAUGAUACAUAGCCGACCUGAGAGGGUGGUCGGCCACAUUGGGACUGAGACACGGCCCAAACUCCUACGGGAGGCAGCAGUAGGGGAUCUUCGGCAAUGGACGAAAGUCUGACCGAGCAACGCCGCGUGAGUGAAGAAGGUUUUCGGAUCGUAAAACUCUGUUGGUAGAGAAGAACGUUGGUGAGAGUGGAAAGCUCAUCGAGUGACGGUAACUACCCAGAAAGGGACGGCUAACUACGUG
rnacentral:rRNA from 1 species